rnacentral:rRNA from 1 species
UGGGGAAUUUUGCACAAUGAUGGAAACCCUGAUGCAGCGACGCCGCGUGAUUUAGAAGGCCUUCGGGUUGUAAAAAUCUUUUCUAUGGGAAGAAAAUGACAGUACCAUAGGAAUAAGGACCGGCUAAUUACGUGCCAGCAGCCGCGGUAAUACGUAAGGUCCGAGCGUUGUCCGGAAUCAUUGGGCGUAAAGGGUACGUAGGCGGGUAAGCAAGUUAGAAGUGAAAUCCUAUAGCUCAACUAUAGUAAGCUUUUAAAACUGCUCAUCUUGAGGUAUGGAAGGGAAAGUGGAAUUCCUAGUGUAGCGGUGAAAUGCGCAGAUAUUAGGAGGAAUACCGGUGGCGAAGGCGACUUUCUGGCCAUAACCUGACGCUGAGGUACGAAAGCGUGGGUAGCAAACAGG